GGGAGGCCUCACCAUCAUGGCAGAAGCUGAAAUGUACAUCUUAUGUGGAGGCAGGCAAGAGAGAAUGAGGGUCAAGUAAAAGGGAAACUCUUUAUGAAACGAUCAGAUUUCAUGAAACUUAUAUAUUACCAUAAGAACAGUACGGGGAAGCCGUCCCCAUGAUUCAGUUAUCUCCCACUGGGUCCCUCCCACAACACAUAGGAAUUAUGGGAGCUACAAUUCGGGGUGAAAUUUGGGUAGGGACACAGCCAAACCAUAUCAUCCCUUCUUACGCUUCUCCUUUGACCCCUUCUCAAAUGUAGCUAUUACUUAAAUCCUUUAUUACUGUCUUCCUUCCAAACCUAACUUCCCUAUCACCAAAACACAGACAACAACUUUACCCUUACCUUUUUGAUGGCAUUCAUGAUACCCUGUCUUAUAGGUUUAUAUUGGUGGAGAUUCUGUCUCCCAUAAAUCAGAGAGAUAAACAUAUAAGUAGCAUGAUUUUUUGUUAGUAAAACUUUUAGAUGAUUAUAGAUUUAAAUCUUAAUAAAAUCUUGGGUUGCUGGGUAAAAGAAUGUGAAAUUUCAAAUACAAGAAAUUAACAUUUCUCAAUUGUCUUCUGAGACAGCAGUGCACAAUAAGGAAAACAGGUUAAGAUUCAGAGGGGAGGGGAGAAAGAAAAAUUAAGAAAUGUGGAGAAAGUUUUAUGGAUGGUAAAAAGUCUCCAUUAUGUUACACUAAGCUGUACUUGAUUUUGUUCUUUAAAUACCUACACUCUCCUUGGGAAAUAAAUUAUUUAACAUAUUGUGAUAGACUGAAUGAUGUGACCCCCAAAAUAGCUCUGUCCUAAUUCCUAGAAUCUGUGACUAUGUUGUUAUGUGGCAAAAGGGACUUUGCAGAUGUGAUUAAGUUAUGGACCCUGAGAUGGGGAGAAUAUUCUGGAUUCUUUGGGUAGACCCAAUGUGAUAUGAUUUGGAUGUGUCCUGGCCCAAAUCUCAUGUCCAGUUGUAAUCCCCAUUAUUAGAGGAGUCUGGUGGGAGGUGAUUUGAUCACGGGGGCCGAUUUCACUCUCUCUGUUCUCCUGAAUGCAGGUCAUCUCUAGUAGCUGGAAAAGGCAGCAUAUAGAUUCUCCCCUGAGCCUCCAGAAGGAACGCAUCCUGCUGAUACCUUGAUUUUAGGAUGUCUGACCUCCAGAACUGUCAGAUAAUAAAUCUGUAUUGUUUUAAGUUAUGUAAUUUGUGGCAGUUCAUUACAAUGUCAAUAGGAAAUUAAUACAUGUAUUUUACAGGAAGAGGAAUUUAGGCUAUGACAAUUAAAAGUAGAGACCAAGGGUUGGUGCACUUUUCUGUCUAGGACCAGACAGUGAAUAUGUUAGGCUUUGUGGGCCAUGUGGUCCCUGUCACCGUUACUCAACUCUGGCGUAGACAAUACCAAAUAAAUAGGUGUGGCUGUAUUCCAGUAAAAUUUUAUUUGCAAAAAUCGGCAGUAGACUGGAUUCAUCCUGCAGGCUAUAGUUUGCUGACACAUGGUAUAAACCAAUGCCUUGUCAUCAUUUAUGGUCUUAAUUUGUGCUUCAUCAUAGCCUGGAAUCUGAUUCCCAUCUAAGCCUGCCACAUGCCCGCAGAACAUCAGCAAUGGCCUAUGGUUGGUUCUCCAACCAGAAACAAGCUCAUUAUUAACACUACAGAUAUAUUGAACGCCUCAGUAUUUGCACAUUUGCAAAAGCUGUGUGCUGGAGGUGUAAAUGGUAGUGCUAAAUUAUGUUGGUUUGAUUUGGUCCAGAGAAAACCCUACUGUAUCUUCAUAAAACUGUCAGUGUUUUUAAUGCUAAGAAUAUGUACUUACUAUAAAAGUAUAUUCCAUCAAACAAUGUCCACAGAGGAUUAAACUGAACUGUAUAAUCAUGUUUUUGUGUACAGCCUUCAGGAUUGCUAACGCUCUAUUAUUUAUCCUUGCUCCCUGGGACAUCUGUCUUGGGACGUCUCUCUUGAGAUGGAGAUUUGCUUAGCAGAUGAGAUGCUGUACAGACAAUGUGAUUUUUAGCCAAAUAAAUUGCUGUAUGCAGGGAUUCUUCCUCAGCUCUCUAUCAUACUUGCUUUUGCUUUGUGUAUCUGACCCCUAACAUCUGUAUAAACGUGGCAAGUUAAAACAGCCUGCUUGUACCUGGCUUGCCAAACCCAAUUCUGCCCUCAUCAUGUUUUAUAUCAAGAUUAAGUAACUUUGCUGCCUCUCUGGAUCUCUGCUGGUUUUCUACUUGGUCCUCCUGGCCUAUUAAUAAUAGUUGCCCUUCAGCCUUCAAGACCAGACUCAGUUUUGCCUCCCCUGUGGUCAAACCUUUCACACCAUUCUUCCUCUGCAGCUUCUCCAAACAUCUCUCUGGUCUGUAUGUGGGCUAGUUAAUUAAAGUUUAACGAAGUUCUAGCAUUGACAUGAUUUUUACAUGCAUCAUGUUAAAUUAUAGAUCCUCGUAUUCAGAAACUGCAUUGUGGUUUGGCUGCAAUUCAUAAUACUUAAGCACAAUAUUCAAUAAAUAUUUGCUGGCUUGUUGAUUGUUGAUUUCAUUAUUGAGUCCUUUUUGGAUUUUAAGUGUGGGUAUAUGACAUUAUAUUAAGAAAUAUCUUAGUGGAAUAUAGAAUUGAAUCAUUAUUUUUAUUUCACACUCUGAAGUAAAGCAACUGUUCAUUCCCUCCUUACUGUUUUAGAGAAAGCAGUCUAGUCUUAUUUCCAAAUUUGCUUAGUGGUUAUAAUUUAUGUUAAAAAAUCCUACUUGAUGACAACAUUUAAUUAAGAACUUGGAAGCAAAGAAUAAUUAGGAUGCAUUCCUGCAUAUUUUCAGCGUUGGUAUGAGUUUAUGUAACUAAACUAUUCCAGAUGAUUAAAGAUCUUACUAACUUCAAAGACUUACAGAGAAAGUAGGUUCAGAGUCUCCUGACAGGGUUUGAUUCUCUUUAAAAGUAUUUGCCAGGGAAGGUCCUGUGCGUUUGCCAGGCCUCAGUGAGUCAUAUCACUUGGUCCACAGAGGUGUGUUUGGAAAUGUUUUUUGGGGUCUCUGAGACCCCUGCUGCUCAGAUUGCGAUUUCUAAUACGUAUGGUACCCACAUUGUCAGUCUGGUUUGGCAGUGCAUACUUCCAGCAACUGACCAGGUAUAAAAAAGAGAACUGCUCUGAGACUCCACCCAAAACAGUUCUAAAGAUGUUCGGUCAAAAUGAGUAAGCACAGGCCACUUAAACCACUGCUGUUUGUAAUUUUCUGUCUGUACCCACUCCACUGGAAAAGUUAUCAGAGUUUAUUAGUGAAGCAGAUAUUCUGAUGCCCUCAGGUAUUGAAGGUCAAGGAUCAGGACACUUGAAUAAUAAGAAACUGCACUAAAAGUUCUUGAUUGCCCCUUUGCAUUAAUGUUUGGAUAAGUGAGGAAAAAAAGUGGAAAGGAAAUGGUUAUAUAAAAAUAGAAAACAUUGCUCUGUUGUAUACCUGCCAAAGAGAGGCAAUUUGAAUCUAAGCGUGAGAAAACACACAACUCCAGAUGGGGAACUUUAUGUAAAAUAAUUGCCCUAGACUCUUAAAAAAUGCCAAUGUCAUGAAAGAUAGAAGAGCCUGGGGAAAUGUUCUAGAAUAAAGGAUCUUUGAUCAGAUUCUAGAUACAGACAUAAAAUAAGAUAAAGCAAAAAUUCCCAGCUUUAUAGAUCAUUAUUGAGUCAGUGGGUAAUAUUUCAACGUGGACUCUAUGUUAAUGUUGAAUUAUUAUGUGUUGGUGUUGAAUUAUUAAAUUUUCUGCAUGUAAUAAUUGUAUUGAUGAGAUGUGGGAUAAUAUCUUUCAUGGAAGGUACAUGCCGAAGUAUUACAGGGACUCAGAGUCACGAGAUCUACAAAUGUUUCUCAAGUAAUUCAGAAUAAGAAAUGUAUCUAUGUUGCAUAUACUUGCAUGCACACACACAGCUGUGUAUAUAUGUAAAUGAGAAAGAGAGAGAGAGAGAGAAUGUGGGAAAAUGUUAACAAUUGGUAAAUCUUGAUAUAUAGGUGUUUAUUGUACUCCUGCACUUUUUUUUUGUAGGUUUGGUAUUUUUCAAAAUAAAAAGUUGGGGGGCGGGGAAAGGCAAAUUCCAAAGGGCAUUUCCCUUUAUCUUUCUUUAGAUAUUAGUCAAAGUUCAGCUAAAAAGAAGUGGAAAAAUCUCCAAGCUACUAAAAUAAAUAAGCUGCUCUCACCAUCUAUAAGAUUUGGAUAUCUUGGUGCUUACAGACAAAGGCAGCUGAAGACUCACUAAAUAAAACAUCUUAAUCUAUAUUUGACCCUUUAAGGGGUACCUCUGCCUGUUAAAUAAGCAAGAAAAUAAAACACAUAACUAGGCAUGCAGGCAUCAUGAUAAUCACAAGUUUUUUAUUUGGAAAUGUUUCUCAAUUUGGGAGUUAUUGCUUUCAGCUAUAAUAAUAGCGGGCUUUUCCAAUAAGGAAAAAAUACGUGGAAUUUAAAAUAAAUAUCAUCAGUACAAUUCUGCAGUGUUGAAAAAACAUAAAUGACCUUUUUUCUUUUCUUUAAACAUUAAAAAUCUCCUGGAGGUUUCAGGAGACAGAAUUUAUGUUCAGGGAGAAUAAAUUUCAACUAACAGGUGACUGGUUACAAAAGGCCUUCACCAUUAUUUUAAGUAGUGCCAAAACCCCUUUUAUUUGUGGCCUUUGCCCAAAGAUAAGCCCAGACUUUUCUCCAAGAAUGUUGGCUACAGUUUCUCAUUGCCAUCUGGGGUCUGCCUGUGGAACACAAUUCAGAAUGGAAUUAUUAGCUCAGGGGAUGUCACUGUUUGCUUCCUAGAAAUUGACUCAAACCAGUGUACUACCAAACUCAAAGUACAGUUAAAGUCAUUGGGAGGCCGGUUUUAAAAGAACUCACACAUUUCUCCAGGGAAUAGCAAAAGGUUUCAAGGCACCUUUUUGGUGGGAUUUUACACCCUCAUUUUUUUUUUCCUAAUGUAAAAAAUAGUAGCAAGUUCAGGCUUUGUUUCUGAGACCUCUCUCAGUUUUACAUGGCAAAUCCUUUUUCCAGAAGAUUAAGUAAUUAUUCUCUUAUUGUUCUGUAUCCUAAUUCCAUUUUUUCUUUUUCUUUCACUGACAAAAUAUCAAGAACUGUAGUGAAUAUCAUUUAAUGACUAUCUAUGAUGUUUCUGAUAUCAUGUUAAGGGACCUAUAUAUUACAUUGUUUGAUAUAAACAAGAAAGCCUAUAAGACAGUUGUUAUAUUAUUUUACAAUGAAGGGAAGUUUUACAACUAAAUUAGUUCGUGAUCGCCAGCUUGGGAAUAAAGUCUUGCUCCUGACACUACAAUAUAUGAAGGACAAUUAUUUUUUUUAAUUCAAUCAUCCAUUUAAGAAUU